UUACCCCUGAGUCAUAGAAAUUGACAAAAAUGCCCUCGAUAUUAUAUCAAAAAAUUACAUUUCUUCUUUUCUCAUUUUCUUCGUUUGUUCCGUCAAGAGGAGAGAUGGGAGAUAAGCAACCAAACCCGAUCUCCAUCAUCGCCCUCAUCUGAUAUCUCCUUCGUCUUCAACUGAUAUUCUCCUUCAUCACCUCAUCUCAUCUUUUGAUCUGUUUCAUAUCAUCUAAAAGCUUCCUUUUGAAUCAUCAUCAUCUUCAGGUAUAAUAUCCUGGUUAGUGCUACCAAAUCAUCAGGGCUAGUUCGCAUAUAACCUUAUACAUUAUCUCAGUAGGCAGACAUUUGUUUCCAUCACUGGAUCCUAAAGCAGUUCUCUAUGGAGAAAAAAGAAGAUGAAAAAGCAAAUAAGAUAACUUUUAGGAGCAUCCCAGCAUUUAGAGGAUUAUUUAUUGACCAAUGUUUGGCACAAGCUACUGAGCAUGGGUUUUCUGGAACUUCUUUGAAGCAAACUUCGUGGGGAAAUUUGUGCAAAUACUUUUCUGAGAAGUAUGAAUGCACUAUCACCCAAAAGAAAUUGAGAAACCACUGGGAUUACUUGCGCACCCAAUAUGUCACUUGGUCCCGUCUCUUAGCAAGAACCGGGCAUGGGUACAACGCGGAGACGAACACUUUUGAUUGGAGCGAAGAGCAGUGGAUUGAAUUAGACAAGACAAUCAAAAACGCCAGUCAAUUCAAGAACAAGGGACUGGAAGAUG